UGGGGAAUAUUGGACAAUGGAGGAGACUCUGAUCCAGCAAUUCUGUGUGCACGAAGACGGUUUUCGGAUUGUAAAGUGCUUUCAGCAGGGAAGAAGUAAGUGACGGUACCUGCAGAAGAAGCGACGGCUAAAUACGUGCCAGCAGCCGCGGUAAUACGUAUGUCGCGAGCGUUAUCCGGAAUUAUUGGGCAUAAAGGGCAUCUAGGCGGAUAUACAAGUCAGGGGUGAAAACUUAGGGCUCAACUCAAAGCUUGCCUUUGAAACUGUAUAUCUAGAGUGCUGGAGAGGUGGACGGAACUACACGAGUAGAGGUGAAAUUCGUAGAUAUGUGUAGGAAUGCCGAUGAUGAAGAUAGUCCACUGGACAGCAACUGACGCUGAAGUGCGAAAGCUAGGGGAGCAAACAGGAUUAGAUACCCUGGUAGUCCUAGCUGUAAACGAUGAUUACUGGGUGUGGGCAUGAAGAGUGUCUGUGCCGAAGCUAAUGCGAUAAGUAAUCCGCCUGGGGAGUACGACCGCAAGGUUG
rnacentral:rRNA from 1 species